rnacentral:rRNA from 1 species
UAAGUCGAACGGGGUAGCAAUACCUAGUGGCGAACGGCGGAGUAAUACGUGAACAACGUGCCUUGAAGACUGGGAUAGCCAGGGGAAACCCUGAGUAAUACCGGAUGUGGCAACGAGAUGGCAUCUUCUCGUUACUAAAUGGUUUUUCGCUUCAAGAGCGGUUCACGACCUAUCAGCUAGUUGGUGAGGUAAUGGCCCACCAAGGCGACGACGGGUAGGGGGUCUGAGAGGAUGAUCCCCCCGAGUGGGACUGAGACACGGCCCACACACCUACGGGUGGCAGCAGUUGGGAAUCUUGCACAAUGGGGGAAACCCUGAUGCAGCGACGCCGCGUGGAGGACGAAGGGUCUAGGCUCGUAAACUCCUUUUUUUGGGAAAGACUUAGGACGGUACCCAAAGAAUAAGCACCGGCUAACUACGUGCCAGCAGCCGCGGUAAGACGUAGGGUGCAAGCGUUGUCCGGAUUUACUGGGCGUAAAGAGCGCGUAGGCGGUCCGUUAAGUGUGAAGCUAAAUCUCUUGGCUCAACCAAGAAACUAUUUCGCAUACUGACGGGCUGGAGUGAUGCAGAGGUGGAUAGAAUUCCCGGUGUAGCGGUGAAAUGCGUUGAUAUCGGGAGGAAUACCCGUGGCGAAGGCGGUCCACUGGGCAUCAACUGACGCUGAGGCGCGAAAGCGUGGGUAGCAAACAGGAUUAGAUACCCUGGUAGUCCACGCCCUAAACGAUGGAUGCUAGGCGUAGGAGGUAUCGACCCCCUCCUGUGCCGCAGCUAACGCACUAAGCAUCCCGCCUGGGGACUACGGCCGCAAGGUUGAAACUCAAAUGAAUUGACGGGGACCC